rnacentral:tRNA from 1 species
UCCCUGGUGGUCCAGUGGCUAAGACUCUGCCCUCCCAAGGCAGGGGCCUGGGUUAGAUCCCUGGUCAGGGAA